rnacentral:rRNA from 1 species
GUGGGGAAUAUUGGACAAUGGGUGAAAGCCUGAUCCAGCCAUGCCGCGUGUGUGAAGAAGGUCUUCGGAUUGUAAAGCACUUUAAGUUGGGAGGAAGGGUAGUAACCUAAUACGUUGCUACUUUGACGUUACCGACAGAAUAAGCACCGGCUAACUUCGUGCCAGCAGCCGCGGUAAUACGAAGGGUGCAAGCGUUAAUCGGAAUUACUGGGCGUAAAGCGCGCGUAGGUGGUUCAGUAAGUUGGAAGUGAAAUCCCCGGGCUCAACCUGGGAACUGCAUUCAAAACUGCUGAGCUAGAGUACGGUAGAGGGUGGUGGAAUUUCCUGUGUAGCGGUGAAAUGCGUAGAUAUAGGAAGGAACACCAGUGGCGAAGGCGACCACCUGGACUGAUACUGACACUGAGGUGCGAAAGCGUGGGGAGCAAACAGGAUUAGAAACCCGUGUAGUCC